rnacentral:rRNA from 1 species
GGGCAACCUGCCCUGUAGAUUGGAUAACUUCGGGAAACCGGAGCUAAUACCGAAUAAUACAUCUUCACUCAUGUGAAGAUGUUGAAAGGCGCUUUCGCGUCACUACAGGAUGGGCCCGCGGUGCAUUAGCUAGUUGGUGGGGUAACGGCCUACCAAGGCGACGAUGCAUAGCCGACCUGAGAGGGUGAUCGGCCACAUUGGGACUGAGACACGGCCCAAACUCCUACGGGAGGCAGCAGUAGGGAAUCUUCCACAAUGGACGAAAGUCUGAUGGAGCAACGCCGCGUGAGUGAUGAAGGUUUUCGGAUCGUAAAACUCUGUUGUAAGGGAAGAACAAGUACGUUAGGAAAUGAACGUACCUUGACGGUACCUUAUUAGAAAGCCACGGCUAACUACCUGCCAGCAGCCGCUGUAAUACUU